rnacentral:misc_RNA from 1 species
AUGAAACCUAAUAUCCUCACACAAGAAGAAUCUUUAUUUUACAAACUUAGAUGGAAACUGAAAAACACAGGAGCAUCCUCCACACAAGAAGAUGCUAAGCCUGAUCUAAAAGCAGUUAAACGAUAAUGACAACGACGAGGACAACAACGCAUAACACUGGUCAGUUCUACAUUCCAAAACGACCUUCUUUCCCUUUUCAUAAAUACAGAAGAGGGGGUGAAGAAGCCAAACUACCAAUCAGUAAAGGGACUGAAUGCUGAAACUUCCUUGGGGUAUAACAAUCUGAAUUUGAAGUAUGUCACUUCAAUGUUGAGAUCUUGUCACCUUGGUGGU